rnacentral:lncRNA from 1 species
AGAAGUAGUGCUAAGUUGCCAGUGGAAACUGCCCAUGGGCCACAUGAGAGACCACGGAUCCUGCAAUGCUCGGGAUGCAUAAAGCUGGCACAGAAGUGCUGCAGAGAGGCUGUCACCAGUUAGAGGGAAGGAGCUAGAGAAGCAAGAAGUGCGGCAACAGCCAACGGUCUUCAAAGGCAUGCAGAGAGGCUGGCUGAGCUCUGCCAGGCCAGCAGGGUCUGUGCCAGGCCUGGGAGACUGCGAGGACAAGCAGCAGGUGACGGCCUUUCUGGAGAACAUGGAGGUGGAGAGCAAGUACCAGUGCUACUGUGAGAAGGACCCGGACGAUUCAUGA